GCAUCUAUGGCCGAGAGGACGAUGGCACGUGACUCAUAAUCUCGUUCUACUAGACAUCGCUGGUUCGAAUCCAGCUGGAUGCA
rnacentral:tRNA from 1 species